UUGUUCUUUUUUCACCUUAACUGUCACGUCAUUGCAAAUUGUGCAUUGUUCGGAUGCACAUGAGAGACGUUGUGCUCUUACCAAUGCAGGCUAGUUCAUGGGGGCAUCAUUGGCAAUGCAUGUACUCCAAUAUAUUGAAGCACACGAAUACACAUGCAGACUCUCAUCCCAUGCAAACUUUGACCACAUAGCCUAGAAUUUCCGCAUCCUUUGCGAAAAAUUUCCGGUCUGGUGAUCUUUGGUGGUUAUGGUCAAAUGUUUUGAAUUUUAUAAAUGUACCAAAGAGUACAAGAGGACAACAUCGGCUGCUCUGUUAUGAGAUCCUGUUCCCACACAAUAAGUUUGAUAUAAAAUUCAACCAAUUGGAAACACCACUGAUGGGAUCUCAGAGCUGCAUAGUAAGCCAUACGCUUCACCUAAUACGAAUUUCUGCGACUUUUGCCCCAUCCAAACAUUAAAGAUCAUCAGAGCGGAAGAAUUAUUCGAAAUACAAGGAAAUAGGAUUAUGUGAGGCAAACAGUAUAAAUUACACUCAUGCCCGCAUUGUUGCCAAUGCUGUACUGCUGUUGCCGCUCACAAACAAGGAGAGAGAGAAAGAAAACAUUGAAAUGCUUAAUCCAAGUGACAAAUUUUUCGAAUGGUAGCACAGUGGUUGAACAGCAAUAAGGUCUAACUAAAUUAGUGCCUACUUUUAGGCUUCUGCUGAUAUCUGCUUUCCUGCUGUAUAUUCGUAUGCUUCAAGUUUUUGAAAUUAUAAAAAAAACACAGACUAAUCUCUUCCGGCUUAACUCGAGAAUCAGUUGUACUCAAGUAGAAAUGACCUGAAAGGGAUAUCAGAAUCCGAAAAAGGAUUGCAGUAUGAAAAGCAAGGAUAUUUGGUAUCCAUCAAGGAUAUUUGGUAUUCAUUCAUUUCUCUUUGCAAUGGUGAGUAAACACAUCACUCAUGUGAAUUCAAUUGAGGAAAAUGCGAAAAGACCACACAAUUUCCAUUAAUUUCAAAAAAAUAUAUUUACA
rnacentral:sRNA from 1 species